rfam:Equus caballus chromosome 7, whole genome shotgun sequence.
CAGUUUCCUGCCUCAACAGUGCUUGGACUGAACGG